rnacentral:rRNA from 1 species
UGGGGAAUAUUGGACAAUGGGCGCAAGCCUGAUCCAGCCAUGCCGCGUGGGUGAUGAAGGCCUUAGGGUUGUAAAGCCCUUUCGGCGGGGGAGAUAAUGACGGUACCCGCAGAAGAAGCCCCGGCUAACUUCGUGCCAGCAGCCGCGGUAAUACGUAGGUGGCAAGCGUUGUCCGGAUUUACUGGGCGUAAAGGGUGCGUAGGAGGAUACUUAAGUCAGAUGUGAAAAUCCCGGGCUUAACUUGGGAACUGCAUUUGAAACUGGGUAUCUAGAGUGCGGGAGAGGAAAGUGGAAUUCCUAGUGUAGCGGUGAAAUGCGUAGAGAUUAGGAAGAACACCAGUGGCGAAGGCGACCUUCUGGACCGUAACUGACGCUGAGGCAUGAAAGCGUGGGGAGCAAACA